rnacentral:rRNA from 1 species
AGUAACGCGUGAGCAAUCUGCCUUCGGAUCGGGGGAUAACAGCCGGAAACGGCUGCUAAUACCGCAUAACACAAGGGAUUCGCAUGUUUCCCUUGUCAAAGAUUUAUCGUCCGAAGAUGAGCUCGCGUCUGAUUAGCUAGUUGGCGGGGUAACGGCCCACCAAGGCGACGAUCAGUAGCCGGACUGAGAGGUUGAACGGCCACAUUGGGACUGAGACACGGCCCAGACUCCUACGGGAGGCAGCAG